UUCUGUCAAUUUCAUAGAAGAUGGGGAAAAUUUUCUAAAAUGAGUUCUCAGUCAACGAAACACAUUUCUCUUAACCUUUUGUUUGUUUGCUUAGUCUACGCUUAAAUAUUAGUUUUCGGUUUGUUAUACUUUCUUUUGCUAUGUGAAACGUAAGCCCUGAGGUGACUUCCUCGAACCAUUGAUUAGAUCAACUUUGGAUUUCGACUAUUGCACUUUCUGGCCUGUGUGGUUGCUGCUGUCGCCAUGGCGUAUACUUAAUCUACGGUAAGAUUUCGUUUACGUGUAAUGCUGCACCUUUCUACACUUCGGACAUGCCAUAAACCUGAGCCACUGGUGGUUGUUGCUGCUGUUGCUGCGGCUGCUGCUCGUUGUUUGCUACCUGCUGCUGCUGUUGCUGUUGCUGCUGCACCCAGUGCGAUGGAUAGUACAGUUGGUGGAUAUAGUGCUGCUGCUGCUGAUGCUGGUUGUGUGAAUGCUGCUGCUGCAGUUGGUGAUGCUGCAGCUGCUGCAGCUGCUGCGUUUGGUAGGGCGGCUCCUUGACAUAUUCGCCGGACGUCUGCUGCUCAUGUUGCUGCUGCAGCAUCUGCUGCUGCUGCUGCUGUUGUUGCUGCUGCUGGUGCUGCUGUGUGGGAUACAUGGCCAUCCCUCAUGGCAGCUACACGAGCAGACUGGGCGCCAGCCACUCGUCCUCCGCCAGCUAAACGAUGUACAAUCGUUAGGCACCGCCUCAUCAUCGAAUUCCUCGAACACUCACCUGUGGACUGACCUGGAACUGCUGCAUCGGAUAUGCGACCACUCCGGCCGCCUGUGGCAAUGCGCUGCCCACGCUCUGUGUGAUCUGCGGCGCAGUGGCUGCCGCUGCACUGGCCAGCUGAGGUUGGGGCGGUACACUCUGCCAGGUGCCGGGCAGCUGGACGCCCAUUCUGAAGCGACAAAGAAUAUAGAGGGCAUAAAUAAAGCGUAUAACUAACACAAAUGAUU
ensembl:ncRNA asRNA:CR45041 antisense RNA:CR45041